rnacentral:rRNA from 1 species
AUACGUAGGUGGCAAGCGUUAUCCGGAAUCAUUGGGCGUAAAGGGUGCGUAGGCGGCUUCUUAAGUUUGUAGUGAAAUCGUAGGGCUCAACUCUAUCUAGCUACAAAAACUGGGAAGCUGGAGUGCGGUAGAGGCUAGUGGAAUUCCUAGCGUAGCGGUAAAAUGCGUAGAUAUUAGGAGGAACACCGGUGGCGAAGGCGACUAGCUGGGCCGUAACUGACGCUGAGGCACGAAAGCGUGGGGAGCAAAUAGGAUUAGAUACCCUAGUAGUCCACGCCGUAAACGAUGAAUACUAAGUGUUGGAGAAAUUCAGUGCUGCAGUUAACGCAAUAAGUAUUCCGCCUGGGGAGUAUGCACGCAAGUGUGAAACUUAAAGGAAUUGACGGGG